rnacentral:rRNA from 1 species
UACGUAGGGGGCUAGCGUUGUCCGGAAUCAUUGGGCGUAAAGCGCGUGUAGGCGGUCCGUUAAGUCCGCUGUGAAAGUCGGGGGCUCAACCCUCGGAUGCCGGUGGAUACUGUCGGGCUUGAGUACGGAAGAGGCGAGUGGAAUUCCUGGUGUAGCGGUGAAAUGCGCAGAUAUCAGGAGGAACACCAAGGGCGAAGGCAGCUCGCUGGGACGAUACUGACGCUCAGGCACGAAAGCGUGGGGAGCAAACAGG